rnacentral:ncRNA from 1 species
AAAGUUAAGGGAUCGAAGACGAUUAGAUACUGUCGUAGUCUUAACCACAAACUAUGCCGACUAGAGAUUGGGAGUGUUUCUUUUGACUCNNNUUGCAGCGCAAGUAAAUACAAAGCCCUAUGGC